AGAGAGAGAGAGAGAGAGAAGGGGCCAAUUAGCGUGAUUUAGAAUGGGAAAACCUACCCUUUCACUAAAGUCGAUUCCCUGUUUUUCAACUAACACCACGACAGAGAGAGAAAACUAUCAAAAGUGAAGUGUGCCCACACGUUGCAGCUGUCUCCAGCCCAUUUCCCUUCCCAUUUGCCCCAUUUUCCUCUAACCUCUCCUUCCUUUAUAUACCCCAUCUGUGUUCCUCACUCCCUCAUCACUCACCAGUCACCACCACCACCACCACCAACGCCGCCGCCCCGGCCACCACUGUUCAGAAUGUCAAAGCCCCAUUUCUUGCUUUGCUUUCUUGGCUUCUCUAUAUUCUUUAGCUGCAGCUAUGUCUAUGCUUCCACUUCUUCAAAUCCACUGCAACUACAGACCUUAAACACUAAGCCAGAGCACAUCAACCCAAAGCUUCCCCCCAGAACCCUCUCCUCAUCCAACAAAUUCGAGGGGUCUUCCGACUUGGUCCAGCUCCGCUACCACAUGGGCCCAGUCCUCUCUUCGUCCCCCAUCAACAUUUACCUCAUCUGGUAUGGUCGUUGGGCUGCUUCCCAAAAGCUCCUCAUCAAGGACUUCAUCAAUUCCAUCUCUCCCGCCACUGCUGCUGUUAAGCCCACCGUCUCCGAAUGGUGGCGCACUGUUUCUCUUUACACAGAUCAAACUGGCGCCAAUGUCUCCCGUUCUGUCCUCAUCGCUGGCGAAUACACCGAUAAGGCCUACUCUCAUGGGGCCCACUUGACUCGUCUUUCCAUCCAGCAAGUGAUUGCCACAGCCGUGAAAUAUGCUCCUUUCCCGGUGGAUCACAAGAAUGGGAUCUAUCUGAUCCUCACUGCGCAAGACGUGACCGUACAGGACUUUUGUCGAGCUGUUUGUGGGUUCCAUUACUUCACAUUCCCAUCGAUGGUGGGCUACACUUUACCAUACGCUUGGGUGGGAAAUUCAGGGAAACAGUGCCCCGACGUUUGCGCCUAUCCUUUUGCAAUCCCGGGAUACAUGGGAGGAGGUGGGCCUGGGGCGUUGAAAGCGCCGAAUGGUGAUGUGGGUGUGGACGGAAUGAUCAGCGUCAUAGGGCAUGAACUUGCAGAGCUAUCUUCAAACCCAUUAGUAAACGCUUGGUAUGCAGGGGAAGACCCCACAGCACCAACAGAGAUUGGAGAUUUGUGUGAAGGGUUGUAUGGAACAGGUGGGGGUGGAGGAUACAUAGGGCAGGUGAUGAGGGACAAGCAAGGAAGGACUUUUAACAUGUAUGGUGGGAGAGGAAGGAAGUUUUUGGUGCAGUGGAUUUGGAGCCCUGAGUUGAAGGCCUGUGCUGGCCCUAAUGCUAUGGAUUAGAGGUCUUUUCUAGGAUCUUGCAAAAUAUUUAUUUCUCUAUGCUCUUGAAUCUUGAGUUUGGUGGAAGCAAAUGACAUAGCUGGAUUUGCAAAAAUUUAAAAUGAAAAAAAAAAAUUAUGGGGGUGGGGAGAUCGGAGAUAGGAAGGAUAAGAUGAGACUUAUCAUCUUUUCAUUUCUUUAUUUCUUUAUUUUCUUUUUUUUUUUUUAAUUUACAAACUGCAACAAAUCAUGGAGGGGGAGUGUUGUUCAAGUUCUAGCUCCGCUUCCACCACCACAAACCCUGAGAAGCGCAAGCACAGGCAACAGCAAGACAAGCCUUAUAGAGGCAUAAGGAUGAGGAAGUGGGGCAAGUGGGUUGCUGAGAUUAGAGAACCCAAUAAGCGUUCUAGGAUUUGGCUUGGCUCCUACUCAACGCCCAUCGCCGCCGCGCGUGCCUACGACACCGCCGUUUUCUACCUUCGUGGCCCUUCUGCCAGGCUUAAUUUCCCCGAUUUGAUGUACCAUGAAGAUAACCUACGUGACAUGUCUGCUGCUUCUAUACGCAAGAAGGCUACUGAAGUUGGGGCUCAGGUGGAUGCUCUACAGCAAACGGCUCUCCACCCAGCAGAAAAGAACUCCAACCGACUAGUUCCGGAGAAACCUGACUUGAACCAGUAUCCGACCCCAGAAAAUUCUGAUGAAGAGUAUCAGAGGAUCGUUGAUUAAUUAGUAAUCAAAUAACUCCUUGUAAUCAUUUACUUUUGUUUUCUUUAAUCUUUUUUUGUUAUAGCUAGAUAGCUAGCUAACCAGCUAGCCAGCCACCAUGUGUGCCUGAGAAAAGUUCAGACACAGAAGAAAUUAAGGGGAUAUAGUAAUCGGGUGAGUUUAAGACUUUAAAAGAGAAAUAGAUAUGAGAAAGGAUUCAAUUUGGGUAAUUGAACAGAGAAUCGUCUCCUCUUUAUCAGUUUGUAACAGCAGAGGGUAAACGGUGGAAAAUAGUUGUUUUUAGUUAGUUAAGCCAUCAAAGUUUAAAUCUGAGUUUGUCUAGUAGUAGUAGUAGUAGUGUUUUGUUGAUUCUCUUUGUACGAUUCCAAUAAUAUUGCUUUGAAAGUAUAUGAUGAAGAGGAAGAAGAAAUGGGCAUGGAAUUUUUUAACUGCAAGAAUAUGAAUAAGAAACAGCGAUGGCCUACCGUUAUACAUAUCAUUUUCUUAUAAAUGGGUAGCUGGGGUUGCCAAAGGAAACAAAGUAGAUAAGAAGAUGAGGAAGAGAGUUGGGGUUGGCACCAAGAAAUGGCACUUGUGACGUGCCUGUGGACACCACAAAACACAUGAAAAUAUGCGAGAGAGAGGGGAAGUGGUCCUCAAUCAGGGAGGUUGUCACCGUCAUGAGAUGGUGGAAAGCUUACGAACUGUUGUUCGGUGGGAGAGUUGAUGGGUGAUGAAAGGUGGGCGGUGAGUGAUCGUGGGUUUUUUAUCUUAAUAAUUUAAUUAAAAGGAUUAAAAUUAUUAUUAUAUGUUGUAAUUUGUAAAAUAUUUAUAUAGUCCAUGAUCUAUAUGGGGACCAUUUUAUGCAACUUCUUGUCAUUGUGAUUGUGUAAUUUGUUUUCUCAAGUUGUUUAGGUUUGGCGGUUGCUUUUAGUUUGUUGUGCGGCGCCAAAAUCUGCGGCUGCCUAAUUGUCAUCCAAUAAAAUUGCUUUUCUUUCAAAA
rnacentral:misc_RNA from 1 species